UACGUAGGGCGCAAGCGUUAUCCGGAAUUAUUGGGCGUAAAGAGCUCGUAGGCGGUUUGUCGCGUCUGCCGUGAAAGUCCGGGGCUCAACUCCGGAUCUGCGGUGGGUACGGGCAGACUAGAGGUAUGCAGGGGAGAACGAAUUCCUGGUGUAGCGGUGAAAUGCGCAGAUAUCAGGAGGAACACCGGUGGCGAAGGCGGUCUCUGGGCAUUACCUGACGUGAGGAGCGAAAGUGUGGGGAGCGAACAGG
rnacentral:rRNA from 1 species